rnacentral:rRNA from 1 species
GACGAACGCUGGCGGCGUGCCUAAUACAUGCAAGUCGAGCGGAUCUGAUGGAGUGCUUGCACUCCUGAUGGUUAGCGGCGGACGGGUGAGUAACACGUAGGCAACCUGCCCGUAAGACUGGGAUAACUACCGGAAACGGUAGCUAAUACCGGAUAAUUUAUUUCUUCGCAUGAAGAGAUAAUGAAAGGUGGAGCAAUCUACCACUUACGGAUGGGCCUGCGGCGCAUUAGCUAGUUGGUGAGGUAAUGGCUCACCAAGGCGACGAUGCGUAGCCGACCUGAGAGGGUGAGCGGCCACACUGGGACUUAGACACGGCCCAGACUCCUACGGGAGGCAGCAGUAGGGAAUCUUCCGCAAUGGACGAAAGUCUGACGGAGCAACGCCGCGUGAGUGAUGAAGGUUUUCGGAUCGUAAAGCUCUGUUGCCAGGGAAGAACGUCCGGUAGAGUAACUGCUAUCGGAGUGACGGUACCUGAGAAGAAAGCCCCGGCUAACUACGUGCCAGCAGCCGCCGUAAGAC